rnacentral:lncRNA from 1 species
UUAUUUAAAAAAAAAAAACUGUUACUUUAUACGGAGUUCUAUAAUUUGCUUAAUCACCACACUCUCAUACUCAUUGUUGCACGACGAACCAGCUUUUAUUUUGUUUACUUCCAUUUUGUUUCGACUUAAAAGAUUUGAAACCCCAAUCAACAUAAGUCAAUGCCUAUAUAAUGGCUAGUGAAGGGGAGAGAGCAGAGAAGAGAUGGGACGAUGAUUGUAGUCAAUCGAGUGAUGGCACAAAAUGAGUGUUUUUUAAGCAUAAUCAGCAAGUUACUUGUUUGAUCUAGGACAAUAGAUAUUAUAAGCUGCAUAACUAUCGGAGGUUCCAUUUUCAUAUGGUUAACAAGUUCAUCGAUGAAAUGUCAAUAGACGAUAACUAGCUAAUGCUAUUUUCAUUAGUCAUAAUGCAUCUGAUUGAGUUUUCUCUGUUCUAAUUUAUUUCUGCUCUUAUGCAGCAGUAUGGUCUUGAUACAUCGGAAUUCACAUACAAUCCAUCUGCGUCUAAUAGGCACCUGCAAGAUGCUACACAAUCUUCUGAGGAAAAGAGCCGUUGCAUCAUAAUCCCCGUUUUGGAAAGUAUCCGAUUGCAUCACUUUGUUAAUUAUUGAGCAACUUUGCACCUUCUUUGUAGAUAUAGAGAUUUCAAAAGCUAGUGAAUAGGGAGCGAAUGAGAUCGCUUUGGCUUCUUGUUAUCAUGACUAUCUAGAGUGAGAUCGUUUUGGUUGCUGUGUUGGUAUAUGUUGUCUUUUCACAAGGUAGGUACGUUGCUUAUAUAUUAUUCUCCAACUCAUGAAUGAGGUGACAAGACAUAGUAGUAACAAAAAAGACGUAUAUAUCACUUCCAUUCAUGAAUUGAAAUUGCUCAAUCAAGGUAACAUUGGAAAAAACGACGUUCUUGUUCGACCUCAACAAUAUGUUGGGUCACUUGUCACAAUGAAAUGUGACUAGUUUAUGACUCCAAAUCACAAGUUCAUUACAAGAGUUUGAUCAACUUUUGUUCUUUCUCAAUCAUUUCUUCUGUACCAUUCUUCCAUUUGGUAAAAGACAGAUUCUAAGUUUCUUUUCACUUGGCAUACAUCUAUUUCAAGUUAAUGUAGAGUUGUAACAUCGAAAAGUGUAUCCGUGACGGUUCAAUUCGAUUCCAAUUCAACUUGCACAAAAUCAAGGAUUUAUAAGGGUCUUGGUUUCAAUUAGAAUAUGACAUUGUUUGUGUUUCAAUUCUUAUUAGUUUGGUUUAAAUUAAGGUGGGUCAUGAUGCAGCGCAAGUGUCACGAAUUCAAUAAUGUCUUAACCUAAAUCUGUUGAGUUCGACGAAUAUUAUUUAAAAAAAAAAAACUGUUACUUUAUACGGAGUUCUAUAAUUUGCUUAAUCACCACACUCUCAUACUCAUUGUUGCACGACGAACCAGCUUUUAUUUUGUUUACUUCCAUUUUGUUUCGACUUAAAAGAUUUGAAACCCCAAUCAACAUAAGUCAAUGCCUAUAUAAUGGCUAGUGAAGGGGAGAGAGCAGAGAAGAGAUGGGACGAUGAUUGUAGUCAAUCGAGUGAUGGCACAAAAUGAGUGUUUUUUAAGCAUAAUCAGCAAGUUACUUGUUUGAUCUAGGACAAUAGAUAUUAUAAGCUGCAUAACUAUCGGAGGUUCCAUUUUCAUAUGGUUAACAAGUUCAUCGAUGAAAUGUCAAUAGACGAUAACUAGCUAAUGCUAUUUUCAUUAGUCAUAAUGCAUCUGAUUGAGUUUUCUCUGUUCUAAUUUAUUUCUGCUCUUAUGCAGCAGUAUGGUCUUGAUACAUCGGAAUUCACAUACAAUCCAUCUGCGUCUAAUAGGCACCUGCAAGAUGCUACACAAUCUUCUGAGGAAAAGAGCCGUUGCAUCAUAAUCCCCGUUUUGGUUCUGCACAAAUUCUGAUGGCUUGUUUAUAGAUCAAUACUGAUAUUAGUUCACUAGUGUGAAGAUUUCAGUAACGUUAGAGACUUUAUUCCAGUGAGUUUGUGUACAAAAGAAGAAUGUCUCAGGAGCUUAUUACUUUCUUUUCUAUAGAGUGAAAAUGAGCAG